GACGUAGGGUCCGAGCGUUGUCCGGAAUUAUUGGGCGUAAAGAGCUCGUAGGCGGUUUGUCGCGUCUGUCGUGAAAGCUUGGGGCUUAACCCCAAGUCUGCGGUGGAUACGGGCAGACUAGAGGCAGGUAGGGGAGAACGGAAUUCCCGGUGUAGCGGUGAAAUGCGCAGAUAUCGGGAGGAACACCGGUGGCGAAGGCGGUUCUCUGGGCCUGUACUGACGCUGAGGAGCGAAAGCGUGGGGAGCGAACAGG
rnacentral:rRNA from 1 species